rnacentral:rRNA from 1 species
AUGUUCGCUCAUGGUUGGCAGGGAACCCCUCCUGGUCGAGCCCCUAGCCCCCACCUUGGCAGCUGCCUGGAGAGGAGGAUAGCUCGAGGACAACUCCCAAUGUGCCGAGGAGAUGGGAACAUGAUAAGUCGACACAUAAUAAGGAUCAGAAGAACAACAGAUAUGCUAAGAGACAAACCUUUUGGGGUUAAGGAUAUAAACAACAACAGAGCUUAUGAGGCCGAAGAGAGCUCGAGUGGCGUCUUUUGGUUCUUGAAGACCUGCACGUUCCUGGUGGAGUAG